CACGUAGGCACCAAGCGUUGUCCGGAUUUAUUGGGCGUAAAGAGCUCGUAGGCGGUUCGGUAAGUCGGGUGUGAAAUCCCUGGGCUCAACCCAGGAAGUGCACCCGAUACUGCUGUGACUCGAGUACGGUAGGGGAGUGCGGAAUUCCUGGUGUAGCGGUGGAAUGCGCAGAUAUCAGGAGGAACACCAAUGGCGAAGGCAGCACUCUGGGCCGAAACUGACGCUGAGGAGCGAAAGCGUGGGGAGCGAACA
rnacentral:rRNA from 1 species